rnacentral:piRNA from 1 species
UGACAUCCUGUCAAACCCUGCAUACUUGCU